AUGCUCCCAUAUAUGUGAGUUGUGACUUAUUCUCACAAUCUGUCAUCGCCGCCGUCGCCACCUCUAGCUUGUCGGAAUUUCUCUAGUACAGCCGAUCCGACAACCACUUCACACAACGUCCGGCAGUACUACAACUGUUCUUCACUUCGAUCUUGAGAUAAAUAUUUGUUAGGAACAAGGAUGCAAGAUAUGAAGUGGUCUUUAAAGAUUGGUUUGGGUGAUUUUUGCAUGAUAGGGAUCAAGGGGAUGGGAGAUGGUGGGAAGUAAACUUUGGCCAAGAGUUAUUUUUGAUAAAAUAUCUAUAUAGUUUGAAGGUAUAAGCUUUGUUGAGAAUGUUAGGAAAGUUUUAAAGACGUAUGAUUUGGAGUCAUUGCAAAAACAAUCAUUUCAAAUGUGUUAAAGGAUCCAAGCAUGGUCUGGAGUCAUUGCAAAAACAGUCCUUUCAGACAACGUGGAUCAUAUAAGUCGAUAAGUUAUUCAACAAGAGAUGAGCAAGUGUUGGUAGAACACAAAAGUGAAAUUGAUUUAUGAUGUCAAUUCGUCAUUUGAUGUGAAAGUAAUAUUUGUCUUUUCAAUAGGUAUGCGUUUGUGACGAAUAUUGCACGUCAAGGGUACAAAGGAUUAUAGUUCGAAGUUAUAUGUUAUGUUGUUGGUUUUCUUGAUAUAGAUGGAUGCAUUAGAAAGUAGAAAGACCGAAAACAUCCAAUGAAGAAAACUGUGAGUCUGUUUGGUUUGCAAGAUUGUUUUGUUAGGUAUUUGGAUUUCAUUAAGGAAUUUGGAUUGGAAUGGAUUUGAAAUUGUUGGUG